AGAUGUAAAGGUGACCUGGCUUUUGCAUCUGUCACCCCAUUGAUUGUCAGGGUUAAUUUGCCUGCUCUGCCUAGCUAAGUGGAUGUCCCCUUCUUUCCUCACUGCCCCAUGUUCAUUCCUCCCAUGCUUCCUAAAGCUGUGCACUCCAUCAAAGAAAAUGACCUUCCCCAAUAGAGGAGGACUGUUCUUCAGUCAAGAAUACACAAGUAAUUAUGCUCCCUUGCUAAACCUCCAGAUAAGCUCUCAAGGUCCAUUUGUAGAACGUGGGUCGUCCAAGUUCCUGUGAUUCCAAAUGAGGCACUGUGCAUGGCAGUCUGCCUUUCUUU
rnacentral:snRNA from 1 species